UGCCAGCAGCCGCGGUAAUACGGGGGGGGCUAGUGUUAUUCGGAAUUACUGGGCGUAAAGGGCACGUAGGCGGUAAAUUAAGUUGAAAGUGAAAUCCCAGAGCUUAACUUUGGAAGGGCUUUCAAAACUGGUUUACUUGAGUUUGAUAGGGGACAGUGGAAUUUCUAGUGUAGAGAUAGAAUUCAUAAAUAUUAGAAGGAACACCGGUGGCGAAGGCGACUGUCUGGAUCAAUACUGACGCUGAGGUGCGAAAGCAUGGGGAGCGAACGGGAUUAGAUA
rnacentral:rRNA from 1 species